rnacentral:rRNA from 1 species
UCAGGAUGAACGCUAGCGGCAGGCUUAACACAUGCAAGUCGAGGGGUAUGCUUCUUCGGAAGCAGAGACCGGCGCACGGGUGCGUAACGCGUAUGCAAUCUACCUUUUACAGGGGGAUAGCCCAGAGAAAUUUGGAUUAAUACCCCAUGGUAUUAUUGAGUGGCAUCACUUAAUAAUUAAAGUCACAACGGUAAAAGAUGAGCAUGCGUCCCAUUAGCUAGUUGGUAAGGUAACGGCUUACCAAGGCAAGAUGGGUAGGGGUCCUGAGAGGGAGAUCCCCCCACACUGGUACUGAGACACGGACCAGACUCCUACGGGAGGCAGCAGUGAGGAAUAUUGGUCAAUGGACGCAAGUCUGAACCAGCCAUGCCGCGUGCAGGAUGACGGUCCUAAGGAUUGUAAACUGCUUUUGUACGAGAAGAAACAACAUUACGUGUAAUGUCUUGACGGUAUCGUAAGAAUAAGGAUCGGCUAACUCCGUGCUAGCAGCCGCGGUAAUACGGAGGAUCCAAGCGUUAUCCGGAAUCAUUGGGUUUAAAGGGUCCGUAGGCAGUUUAGUAAGUCAGUGGUGAAAGCCCAUCGCUUAACGGUGGAACGGCCAUUGAUACUGCUGAACUUGAAUUACUGGGAAGUAACUAGAAUAUGUAGUGUAGCGGUGAA